rnacentral:rRNA from 1 species
UACGUAGGGAGCAAGCGUUGUCCGGAAUUAUUGGGCGUAAAGGGCUCGUAGGCGGUUUGUCGCGUCGGGAGUGAAAACCCAGGGCUUAACCCUGGGCUGGCUUCCGAUACGGGCAGACUAGAGGUAUGCAGGGGAGAACGGAAUUCCUGGUGUAGCGGUGAAAUGCGCAGAUAUCAGGAGGAACACCGGUGGCGAAGGCGGUUCUCUGGGCAUUACCUGACGCUGAGGAGCGAAAGUGUGGGGAGCGAACAGG